CUUGAAGUUGAAUGAUAGGCUGUUCUUGGAGGCUGUUGAUGAAACCGAGGGCCUUCAUCAAAUCCUUCACAAAUUAUCUCUCCACUUUCAUCUCUGUAACAAAUUAUGCCCUCAGAUUGAUUCUCAAAGACCGUGUUCUCUGACUUGAAGUGUAGGGGCUUUCUUGAGUGGAAUUUUACUCUGUUUAAGCAUCAUGGUUUUGCUUUUAGGCUUUAUAACUGGACCAGAAUUUUGAGCUAGGAUAUGAGGAGAAGAAAAGCUUGCUACAGCCAUUGAUCGUAUGCAAGAAGAAGAAGAAAGAAAUGGAAGAAAAGAAGGUUGGUUUGAUCUUUGGUGGGAGUGUUUAGCAAGGCAGGAAUAGAAUAAUGGGAAGAUUACAAAUUUUUUAGGCUGAAUUGGAUAUAAAC
rnacentral:misc_RNA from 1 species